rnacentral:misc_RNA from 1 species
UUGUGAUUCUGUCAAUUCAAAUCGUUGGCUGGCGAAAGAUGUUGUGAAAGCUGUGAAAAAAAGGUUGCAACACAAGAACCCUAAAGUGCAACUGCUGGCUUUAACGCUUUUAGAAACAAUGGUGAAGAACUGUGGUGAUUAUGUCCAUUUCCAAAUUGCUGAAAAGAAUAUAUUGGGAGAGAUGGUCAAAAUUGUAAAAAAGAAGACCAAUAUGCAUGUAAGAGAUAAAAUUCUGGUCUUGUUGGAUUCUUGGCAAGAGGCAUUUGGAGGGCCAAGAGGAAAACAUCCUCAGUACUAUUGGGCA